GAACAACUUCUGCUAGGAAGAAGCACACGAAAGAAAAAAACCAAGAGCACAAGAUGGAUGAGGCAGAGGGGCUGCCGCCUUCCCAGCACAGCAAUGGCACAGAUCCAGUUCCCAGACUGAACUCUGGUUCCUAUCAACCUUCUGGACGGGCCCUGUUACUGCGCAUCGCCUCCCCUGCAGGAAAUUCCCUGCCUUCCGCCAAAUGGAAUUCAUGAACCCCUGCCUCAAUCGCAAACCUCCCCUCUCCAUGGACCUGGGAAGCCCACAUUCUGCUCCGGGCCACACUCUGCAGCUGGGCAUGGAAGGCACAGCCGCAUCUCAGUGCCACCCGUCUGCGCUGGUGGUCAUCCAAGGUACUGAACGCCACCACUGUGGCCACCACCUCAUCGGGUCCCCUGCCGUGCAGGCCUCAGCUGCCUGAACUACACCCACGCCAAAUCCAUCACAACUCAGUUACCCACCCUACAAAUUCUAACCAAAAUAAACCUGGGAAGACUGCA